rnacentral:rRNA from 1 species
UACAGAGGUCCCAAGCGUUGUUCGGAUUCACUGGGCGUAAAGCGCACGUAGGCGGCGAAGCAAGUCGGGUGUGAAAGCCCUGGGCUCAACCCAGGAAGCGCAUUCGAAACUAUUUCGCUUGAAUCUCGGAGGGGGUCAGAGAAUUCCCGGUGUAGAGGUGAAAUUCGUAGAUAUCGGGAGGAAUACCAGUGGCGAAGGCGCUGACCUGGACGAAGAUUGACGCUGAGGUGCGAAAGCGCGGGGAGCAAACAGG